AUGAUCAAUCUUUCUUGUGAAGUGAUUAGAAUCUCAAACAAGUAUUCUUGCCUUGAGAUAUUUGAUCAACAAGGUGAUUUGAAUCUUACUUCCCUUAUAGUGUUUCCAUAUCUCAUUCAAUGAUAAGGAAUC